ACAAAAUGUAGAUGAAAUAUUUGUGGAACCUCCUGACCCCAACGUAGACUCAGAUGAGGAUUCUGCGGAUGAGGAGGAAGGAGGAUUAAUAUGCAACCUCAAUGGCCGUCAGUUGUGCGCUCCAGCCGAAAUAAAGUUAGUAAAUAAUGACAGGGUUGGAGAAUCGAGUAGCUGUAAUGAAUCUGAUGAUAACGGCGCUGAGCAAGUGCGGGAGCCAAUAAUAACUUCAAAAUUAAUUGAAUCAAAUCCCGAAUCGGAGUGGAUUGCAAAUCAACUUUUAACAAAAGAAGCUGCAUAAUGGAUACCUGGUGAUAUUCAACCAAUGCCCAGACAAUUUCCGGAACCGGACUAUUCUAAGUACAAAGACAUGUCACCUGUUAAUCUCUUUGAGUUAUUUUUUAAUGAAAACAUUUACCAAUACCUUA